rnacentral:rRNA from 2 species
UGACUCUGGCCUGAAAUCAGGUAGGACUACCCGCUGAACUUAAGCAUAUCAAUAAGCGGAGGA